UGGGGAAUUUUGGACAAUGGGGGAAACCCUGAUCCAGCCAUCCCGCGUGUGCGAUGAAGGCCUUCGGGUUGUAAAGCACUUUUGGCAGGAAAGAAACGUCAUGGGUUAAUACCCCGUGAAACUGACGGUACCUGCAGAAUAAGCACCGGCUAACUACGUGCCAGCAGCCGCGGUAAUACGUAGGGUGCAAGCGUUAAUCGGAAUUACUGGGCGUAAAGCGUGCGCAGGCGGUUCGGAAAGAAAGAUGUGAAAUCCCAGAGCUCAACUUUGGAACUGCAUUUUUAACUACCGGGCUAGAGUGUGUCAGAGGGAGGUGGAAUUCCGCGUGUGGCAGUGAAAUGCGUAGAUAUGCGGAGGAACACCGAUGGCGAAGGCAGCCUCCUGGGAUGACACUGACGCUCAUGCACGAAAGCGUGGGGAGCAAACAGG
rnacentral:rRNA from 1 species